AUACGGAGGGUGCAAGCGUUAUCCGGAUUUAUUGGGUUUAAAGGGUGCGCAGGCGGAUAAUUAAGUCAGUGGUGAAAUCCUCCCGCUCAACGGGAGAACUGCCAUUGAUACUGAUAAUCUGGAAUACGGUUGAAGUGGGCGGAAUGUAGCAUGUAGCGGUGAAAUGCAUAGAGAUGCUACAGAACACCGAUCGCGAAGGCAGCUCACUAAGCCGAUAUUGACGCUCCGGCACGAAAGCGUGGGUAGCGAACAGGAUUAGAAACCCCGGUAGUCC
rnacentral:rRNA from 1 species